UCCGUGAGCCUGAGAAACAGUGUGAAGAUUGUGAUCAUUGCCCAGUAUGUUUACGCCAACUGCACACUCAGUGUGGAAAUUGCUACAGGAUGAGGGGUUUGGAGACAGAAACCGACUUGUAGCAGGCUCAGGGAAUGAACAGGAGGCAAGGACGCAGAGACAGCGUGUGGACACGCCUUUUUGUAGACUGGUGCUGUUCAGAGUGUGGUUCCAGGAUCAUGGCAUCAGCAUCACCUGGGAGUUAGGAAAGCAAAUUCCUGGUCCCCACCCCAGACCUCGGGUCAGAAUCUCCGGGAGGAGAGCCCAGCGGCCUCAUUUAACAAGCUCCCUGGGUGAUUCUGAUGCACACCAAAGCUAAAGAAGCCCCGUCCUUGCUGGAGAAGAGGCCAGGAGAAAGGGAAGCGGCUGGAGAACAACACAGGAUUAAAGGAUGAUUUUUGUUUUAAUGCAAAAAAAAAAAA